rnacentral:lncRNA from 1 species
ACCUUUUUCUCUUUUUUUUAUCGUUUUAUUUUUCAUCUUUUUCUUCUUCGUAGUUCGUAGUUGUAAUUUUUUAGUUUUAUUAUCAUUUUCUUCUUCAUCUUUUUCUUCUUCCUAGUUCGUAUUUGUAAUUUUUUUAAUUUUAUUAUUAUUUUCUUCUUCGUAGUUCGUAGUUGUAAUUUUAUUUGCUGAGAUUAUUUGUUGUAGACGGCUUUAAAGGCCAUAGGAUGUUAUGGUAUCGAUAUUAUGUCUAUUUUCAUAUUCAUGAUAUAAAAAAAGAGCUAACAAUAGUUGAACAUAUUUUUUGCUUUAUUCUUUGAUUAUUAUGGGUAAAGCUUUGAUCUUUGCUUAAAAUAUGUACUCAUGUUUUGUUUAAAUUCAUUGUUGGCGUAUAAAUUUGUUUUUAGCAUAUAAAGUCGUUUCCUUUAUGUUGAAAAAAAAAUAGUUAAUAUUGAUU